UCUCAACGACAGGGGAGCGCCGAAAGGGGCGCUGAGAGUGCAGAUGAGCUGCAGACCCUCGAACCUGAUGCGGCUAGCACCGCCGAAGGAAGUCGAGACUCUUCUACC
rnacentral:ncRNA from 2 species